CCUACGGGAGGCAGCAGUGGGGAAUAUUGCACAAUGGGGGAAACCCUGAUGCAGCGACGCCGCGUGAAGGAAGAAGUAUUUCGGUAUGUAAACUUCUAUCAGCAGGGAAGAAAAUGACGGUACCUGACUAAGAAGCCGCGGCUAACUACGUGCCAGCAGCCGCGGUCAUACGUAGGGGGCAAGCGUUAUCCGGAUUUACUGGGUGUAAAGGGAGUGUAGGCGGUUUAGCAAGUCAGAAGUGAAAGCCCGGGGCUCAACUCCGGGACGGCUUUUGAAACUGUUGAACUAGAUGAAAGGAGAGGUAAGUGGAAUUCCUGGUGUAGCAGUGAAAUGCGUAGAUAUAAGGAGGAACACCAGUGGCGAAGGCGGCUUACUGGACUGUAAAUGACGCUGAGGCUCGAAAGCGAGGGGAGCAAACAGGAUUAGAUACCCGGGUAGUC
rnacentral:rRNA from 1 species